AUGGAUGCACCAUGGGUGUCGCCCGACGCAAACAUGGUGAGGCGUGCCCGACGUGCGAAGCAGCUCGCGCGGAAGGCGGCGGCAGCCCUUGCGGCGGUGGACAUCGGCAAAGCAGAGUCGCAUUCUCUGGCACCCCGUAUGGUCCAGCAGUCCAGGCGCCGCUACCGUGUCGUGGUGGAUGUGACGGGCUCGUCCCAGGACGGAUCCAUCAUCAAUCUGCCGUCCACCGGCACUGUUCGUGUUCUUGGCUCCGACGAGGAAGAGCGUGGACACCGGGACAUUUUCGUCCUGGAUCCGCCCCUGCCUUCGUGUCAGCUCAGUCCCCCGGAUCUCCUCGACAUGGCGGCAGCCGCUCUGAGUGCCCAGCUCAAUGCCCACAUCGCCGCCAUGUACGCCGAGGGCGUGGUGGACGAGGACACGUUCCAGGAGCUGCGGGAGAACGGCACCGCCGCAGAGGUCGCCCGCCUCAUCAUUAACGACACCUACCCGAUCCUCGAUGACAUCCGCGACCUGAUGUCUGUACCGCCCCCACGCCCUCCCUCUGCUCUCAGUCUCAGUGUUGGCGCAAAACAAGUGAACCUCGCCUGCAGGCACUUCCGCCAUUUCAAUGCCAUAAAAUACGAACAAUGUCCACUCUGCCGCCGCCGGAGCUCCCAUUUCCCCAGCGCGCCGUGCCUUCAGGACCUGCAAGCCAUGGCGGCCGCCGCGAUAAGGGCCCAGAUCAACGUACUCAUCGCCACCAUGUUCAACACGGGUCUGGUGGACGACGCUUUCUUGCAGCUGCAGAGGAUGCGCGAGCAGGGCCGCGUAACUCCGGCCUACGUCGUUGAGGUCAUGAACCGCUUCCUCAACAACGCCGAGAGGAUCAUCAACGACCUCAUCGGCCUGAUGUCCGUAUCCCCGCCCCCUCUCUCCCCUCUGCUCUCGUUAUUCUCGUUUCGUUCGGAUACAGACUUAUCUUGUCUGUUCUAUGCUCUGAGAUUCGCAUGCAGGAACGAGCCCGAGGUGGACUUCGACAAGGUGGACGGCCUCGUGCAGCAGCUCAAGCUGGCCUGCAGCAGGUACCUCGCGGCACUAGGUCGUGUCAGGUUUCAGUUCUACGAUUUGCGCAGCAUGUUCAAGAUCAUAAUGGAGGCGGCGGGGGCAACGAAUAUCAAUGGAUCGGCGGCAACAGAGGCGUCAGGGGAAGCAAGGGCACCCGAUCCAGUCAGGAAUUUGGAUGAUCUCUUGAACAGACUGGAGAUUACGGAGGAGGAAGACGACGCUGUGGAUUUGUCGGGUUUGAUCGGUGCCCCAGCUCGGGAGACGAGAUGGGCGCUGAUUCUUAGGGUUUGCGUCAAGACCCCGUUUAGCCAUACUGCUUUCUACACAGCUAUGCAGGUAGCCUGGGUGUGUGCAAAGGAAGUGAAGUUCAAGCCGCUUGAUGAUUACACGUUCACGGCUGAGUUUCAGUGCUUUGGAGAUUGGAAUACAGCGAUGCAUGGAGGUCCUUGGCUGUUUCGAAACCAAGCAGUGAUAAUAGAGGAAUACAAUGGCCUAACAAAUACUGAGAGUCUCCAACUGGACUCUCUUCGUGUUUGGAUCAGAAUUAUGGGUCUCCCAGAUUUACUUCGGAAUAAGCCUGUAGCGAAGAUGCUAGCAUCAAAGAUGGGAGAGGUCUUGGAGGUUGAACUAGGAUUUAAUGGUGUUGAGUAUGGGAAAUUCGUCAGAGUGAGAAUAAAAAUCAAGAUUGAGAAGCCUUUGCUGCGGUUUGUCUCAGGGAAUGUGGAGGCAAGGAAACCUGCCCAGAAAUUUCGAGUGUUUUAUGAAAAAAUGCCCCGUUUCUGUGCUCAAUGCGGGACAAUUGGUCAUAUCGCAGAGCAGUGUGGAGAUGGUUUGCACGAUCCUUUGAAGUUCCAGUAUGGGGAUUUUAUGAUGGUGCCACAAGAGGAGUUCUGGUUCCAACCACGCCGUGAAUUUGUGGCCACCCCUGGUGCAAGUUCUAUGCGUGGAAGGAGCGCACAUAAUGGUACUGGAGUGGGCCGAGUUAACAGAGGAGAACAUCAAGCUGGGGAUGCUGAUAGAGAAGUCCCCAAUACUAAAGUGGGGAAUGGCGCUGUAUAUGUGCCAAAGGAAAAAAACAGUGAGAAUUUAGGAGAAACAUCAGAGAGAAUGGCUAGGAAGAGAUUGGCAGUUUCAAAUGAGAAGGCCCCUGGUGGGCAGUUGCUCCUUAUGGGAGGAGAGAAGGUUUGGGGACGCCCUCGGCAAUUCGGUCGCUGUCGGAAUUACUACGGCAGCAUAGUCCUGAUGUUCUUUUCCUCUCGGAGACUCACUUGA
rnacentral:rRNA from 1 species